GGGAAAUGAAAUAACUUGGGCAGGAACUUGAUUGGUAGCAGGUUCAUCUUUGGUCCGCGGUGGGGAAUCUAAUGGAGAUGAGGAAUGACCCAGACUGGCAACUUGACAAGCCUUUGGCACAGGUGUGGACAUGUUUGGAGCAAAGAAGGCUGAAGGACAAGUAUGCACCAUCUUUUGCUCUCUGAGAGACCAGAAUGUGGCUAUCAUGGAGCCCUUCGAUUUUAACAGAGAUCCUUUCUCUAUAACUAAUUCAACGCAUGGCUAUAUGGGUAAUUUUGAACAAGUGGAUCUUUCUCCAACCUGAAAGGCUGCCAGGACAAAGAGGGAGUGAGAAAAAGAGGGUUUCAAAAGCAGUCAUAGAGAACCACAAAAUAAUCACGAAGCACUUCUGUAUUGCCACAAUCUCCUUACAGAAGUGCAUUGAGAGGUGAUGAUAUGGAACAGAGAGGACACAUCGUUGCAAUAAAAUACUCUAUAAUACCUGGG
rnacentral:lncRNA from 1 species